rnacentral:lncRNA from 1 species
CAAACACAAAGAAUCACUAGACAUAAUACUCAAGAGAAUCCUAAUUAGAUAGAAUUUGCGAAAAAAAAUUCCCAACUAAGUUCAAAAUAUUUUACAACGCAAAAUGAUAGAAUAAAAAAUAUGGAAUUCAUCUCUCAAUUAGUCUUCCACAACUAACUCAACAUCGACGAGCACCACUGCCGCCGCCUGAGGGAUGAGCGCCGCCGCAGUGAGGGGAAAGGGUCGUCGCGGUGAGGAGAAUCGGUNN